CUGGAGGGGCUCAGAAGGGUCUGGGGGGGCUCGGAGGGGUCUGGGGGGGCUCGGAAGGGUCUGGUUUUUUUCAUGGAUCUGGGAUGGGCUCCUGAGCCAGAAUUAAAAUUUUUUACACCUGUAAAAAUUCCAUUUAUUUUUUUUCAUGGAUCUGGGAUGGGCUCCUGAGCCAGAAUUAAAAAAAAUAACUCGGGAAUAAUCAGAUUUUAAAGAAUUUUAAAGGAUUUUAAAGAAUUUUAAAGAAUUUUAAAGGAUUUUAAAGAAUUUUAAAGGAUUUUAAAGGAUUUUAAAGGAUUUUAAAGGUGAUGGCGGGGGGAGCCUCACCAAGUUUUGGGAGCUUUCAGAAUUAAAACUCAUUUCCAGGGAAUGACGAUGUUCCAACAGCCACUUUUUAUCUUUAAUUAGAGAAUCCAAUCAAUCCCACGCAGCACCGGGCUGGAAAAAUUCCAGCAGCGCCUCCUCGGCCUCUUCCAACGCUUCAUUAACGGAGGAGAGAGAAAAUAUUUCCCUAAAAACAGCCCCCCCCUGCAAAAAAAAUUAAAUUAAAUUCUCACAAUAAACUCGGCUUUAUUUUUUUUGCUGGGAAAAAAAAAAAAUUCCACCCCCCCUUUGGGAAUUGUGGAUUUUCCUGGUUUGGAUUUUGGGGUGUAAAUGUGUAAAUGGAAGAGGAAAUUUGGGGAUUUUGAGGGGAUGAGAGAGGAAAAAUUCCAUUCCCAACAAUUCCCAGAGCUAAAAGAGUUUGAAUUUUAAUAUUUUCAAUAUUUUGAAUGAAUAAUUUGAAUUUUAGGAGGAUUUUGGGAAUUGUUUUCCCUGGGAAUCUCCACGGGGAGCUUUGGGAUGUCACCUCGAGCUGGAGAGGGACAAGAACCAAUCCUGAAUUCCUCAAUUCCAGAUUUUUUCCCCGUGUUCAGAUCAGGACUGGGAUCAGUCCGGAGCUCCUCAUUCCAGAUGUUUUUCCCUGGGCUCGGAGCCUUUCCAGAGGCUCAGUUUUCCCUCUUUUCCCUCUUUUCCCUCUUUUCCAGGGCAGACUGGUUCCUCCUGGACAGCCGGAGCGUCCGGCACGCGGCCAUCGGCCUCUUCUGCUGCGGGGUCUGCCUCUACCUCACAGCUCUGGCCCUUUUCAUGCUGCUGCUGUUCCAGCUGGAGGCCGGGAUCGCCGGCGCCUGCAUCCUGACCUCCGGAAUUCUCGUCCUGCUCAUCUCCGUGCUCCACGCGCUGCUCCGCGCUUCCCACAUUUCCCAAAUUUCCCAGCGGAGCCGCUGGGAGCUUUCCCAAUCCUUGUACGAGAACGAUUGCGCCCGGCCCGGGGAGGACGGGAACGCGGCUCCCGCGGAAAUCCGCCGGGAAUUCUCCUUCCCGCUUUUCCCGCAGCGCAAAUCCCAGCCGGGCUCGGCCUCCAGCAGCAACCUGAGCUCGGCUGGCGGCGCCAGGAGCAAGGAAUCCCAGAGGGAAUCCCAGAGGGAAUCCAAGAGGGAAUUCCAGAGGGAAUCAUCCCAGAGGGAAUUAUCCCAGAAGGAUUUCCAGCGGGAAUCCCAGCGGGAAUUGUCGCGCACGCACAGGACGCUCUCGGCGGAUUCGGGAUUGCUCCAGGAGCAGGGAAAACCUUGGAAUGUCAUCACGAGGGAGAUGAGGAAUGCCAUGGCUCGCAAAUCCACCAAGGAUUCCACCCUGGUGUGAAGGAAAAUCGGGAUUUUUUUCCCAGGAGCUUCCCGGGAUUCGCGGUUGAAGUUGGGUUUUUUUCCAUGUUUUUGGUGUUUUUUCCCUGGAAAAAUCAGGAUUUUGGGCUUUUAUCCACAGCCAAAAUCCCUCUGCUGCCCACCUGGAGUCCCCCAGAUCCAUCCCAGCCCAUCCCAGCUGUGGGAAAGGAUCUGGAAAUUGGGGAUGAGAAGCGGAAAUUGGAAUUUUUCACGAGAAUUCCGUCCUUUUCCGGCAGAUUUCGGCUGAUUUUCCCGCCCUUCUCCUUCCUCCCUGCUCCAUCCUCAUCCUCAGCACGACCCUGGGAUCGAGGAGGGGUUUUGGGGUGGGGAAAAUCAGGAUUGGGGUGGGAAAAACAGGUUUGGGAUGGGAAAAAUCAGAUUUGGGGUGGGAAAAAUCAGAUUUGGGGUGAAAAAAAUCAGAUUUGGGGUGGGAAAAAUCAGAUUUGGGAUGGGAAAAAUCAGAUUUGGGGUUGGAAAAAUCAGAUUUGGGGUGGGAAAAAUCAGAUUUGGGGGGGGAUAAAUCAGAUUUGGGGUGGGAAAAAUCAGAUUUGGGGUGGGAAAAAUCAGAUUUGGGGUUGGAAAAAGGAGGUUUGGAAUGGGAAAAAUCAGAUUUGGGAUGGGAAAAGUCAUAUUUGGGGUGUCAGGAAGGGGAUUUGA
rnacentral:lncRNA from 1 species